CACGAAGGUUAGUCAAGUCAAAGUUUAUUUCUAAAGCACUGUUUAAAACUUCCUCAGUUGACCAAAGUGGUGUACGGGUGUACAAAAUAAUCAUACAUACAUUUAAUAAUAAAUAAAACAGUGAUGGAAUAUGAUAAGCCCAAUUUUUUUUAAAAAUAAAAACAAUAAAAAAUAGUAAAAGAGACAAAAGAGAAUAAAAGAUAAAUGAUAAAGGAUGAAAGCCAAAGUUACUCAUCGAGCUAGGUUAUGGUAAAAAGUAUUUGUUUAAAAUAACUGAGAGAGUGGUUAAUUCAGCAGGGUUUUCAUUGUGGAGGUAUGACUGAAUUAUUCUUGCAACUCACUUUUUUGGAUUAUCUAAAAAGUGGCAAGUGAGUUUACAUGCAUUCGCAAAAUCAUACACACGUAUAUAAAUAGUAUAACGUAUAUCGACGUAGUUUAGUAUGUGUAAUAGCUAAAUAAUUAAAUUAAAUAUAAGUUAAAUUAGGGUGUUAAAUAAACACAGCUGUGAGUCUUUACCAGGUCGGAACUAAAACUCCGUCUAGUUUCUGCCGGAGCCUUCUGAACGGGACGGACGGCCGGAAGCGGUCGCAAAUUUGAACAGCCAUCACAGCAACAAUAAACGCGCACUUUCACUUUACGGUGCAACCAAGAGGAGCAAACCAUACUUUCAAGUAUGGAUGAGGAAGUGAAGAUGGCUGAGACUGAACAAGGAGACCCUGUGAGCAAUGAAGGAGAGACCAGUACAGACAUUUCCAACAAUAGUCCGGUUAAAAGGGGAAGGGGCAGGCCGCAAGGCUCCAAGAAACUGAAGGUUUGCGUUACAGAUGUAAACCUAAUGGAGCUGACUUCGGCCAAUUCCAACGGCGGGUCCCCGCCGCUCCACAGGAAAAGAGGGCGCCCGAAGCUCUCGGACACAAAACACACAGAGCAGCGAGGAUCAGAAGGUGACGACGCUGACGACUCUGAGCAAACGCCUGAAGGGUCCAAGAAACAGGCCGAUGCUGAGCACAGUGAAAUGACAGAACAUUCUCCUAGAAAAAGGGGCAGGCCAAGAAAACUUCCCAGCAUAAGCACGGCUGACGAUGCUGCUGCUGCUGGAGACUUGCCUAACGGUGGCUCUAAUGCUCCUGCGAAAAGAGGGCGCCCUAAAGGAUCAAUAAAGCGCAAAGCAGAAACUUUAACAAGCGGGGAGGAAGACGAAAGCAGUAACGUAACACCUAGAAAACGAGGCCGGCCGAAGGGCUCACUCAACAAGAAAUCCAGGCCGGAGAAGGAGCUUAGCAGUGAGGAGGACGCAGAGGCUGAUGGAAGCCCAAACUCACAGAGAAGAGGGAGCGGUCAGGUCGGGCAGGUGGAGGUGAAUAACUCUGGAGAGGCAACACAGGAAACUUCCAAUGGCAUCACAACACCACCUCGGAGAGGACGGGGAAGGCCAAGAAAAAUUAUUGAGGAGAAGAGCGUAGAACAACAGCUUGCCCCAGACGGCUCUCAGCCAGUUAAGAGGGGAAGAGGUCGGCCGAAAGGCUCUUUGAACAAGAAACCAGCAGCAUAUAGGAUGCAGGGUACGGUAAGCCGGCCUCGGAAAUUAAUCGUCACGGUCAUAAGGCGUGGUAGACCACGACGAAUACCAGGCCAAAGGGGAAGGCCGAGGAAGCACCCUCUGCCGCCACCCGAGGGGCCAAAAAAGCCAAGAGUAUGGAAACCUCUGGGGAGGCCGAGGAAAUACCCUCGCGUCGAACCUCCAGAGGGAGCCCCGCCAGCCCCUCGCAGAAGGCGCGGCCGACCUCGCAAGUCAGAUUCUAAGAAAGGCGCUCACCUGCGCAAGCCCGUCCCUAGCUCUAGCUCUCCAUCCACAACACACAACCCCGAAGGACCUCCGGGAAAAAGGGACCCCCCUCCGAGUACUGCAGAAUCUGAAGGCGACGCCCAGACACCGCGGAAACGAGGCCGUCCCAAAGGGUCGCCCAACAAAAACAAAGCCAACCAGGAAACGCAACUCGACAGCACACUCCCCAACCACUCGAAAGCAGCGGAGAGUAACUCACCUGCUGCUGCUGCUGCUGCUGAGGUGGAAAACGAAGCAGAGUCGGUGGUAAAAGACGUGGAGCAGAUCACAGAGACGGUGCCCGUUAAACAUGGAGACGAGACAGAAGAAACUCUCAUCGAUCAGGACGUAAGCUUUGACGUUAGUAACCAGGCUUGAUGAACAGUCCCAGUCUGACCAAAAAACAUGCUGUAGUAAUUGCUGACAUUCUUGUCAAUAAAAAAAAAAAAAAAAAACAAAAAAAAAACACAUGUUUUAACAUUUCGUUGGCUAGCCUAGGCAUUCAGCAGUCCUUCUGUUUUCUGACUAACUUGUUCAUGUUUUUACUGUGCUUGAUUUUAUUUUUUAAAUACUUCAUUUCCGUCAUCUGACUAAGCAGAAGUACUAAUGAUAGAACUGGCACAUGGAGGUAAUCGUUAUAGACUGUUUCAGCUUUGAUUCAGCUUUCAGAUGUAGUAUGUGUCAGUUUAGUUGUUAUAGUAAAACGAAUGCCGGGAAAUGACUUGGAGGGGGAAAAAAAGGCCAAAAAAAUGGUUAUAUGACUGGCAGAUUGCAUUAGAGGCCCUGAAUCUUUUUUUUUUUUUUUUUUUUAUGUUUAUCCCCUUGACUCGUAUAAUUGUACAUGAAAUGAAAGGGAAGGCAUUUUUUUAAACCCAUAUUUGUCAUUUAAUAAGAUCUGUUUGUGAUUACAAGAUUAAAAUAUGGAUGGAAUGUUUUGGUUUCCUUAUUUCAUUUUCUUUAAAUUUGCUAUAACUGACACUUUGAACAACGACGUUGGUCUCAUGACGCUGCCUUGAGACUGAACCUGUGACCUCGUACAUCACUGACAAUUUAAACUUUCUGCGAAGUCGCAAAUACCACAAGGGGGCGCUGCUCAUAUUUUGGCCAACAUGGUACAGAAAAUCCUAUUUGAAGGCAACAUAUUUUAUGAUUUUUACCAGUGUUGUGGUUUAAAUGAGAUCAGUUAUAGCAGGUUUGAUCCAGAACGGUCUGUUGCAUACAAGAAAUUUUACUCAGUGUUGGACUAACGCAGCAUAUUUUUUCAAUGAAGGUAACGUCCCAAGAGUGAAUUUUUAACGGUUUUUCCAGAUGUUGGUGUGAUUUUAAUGUUUUUUUUUUAUGUAAUUUAUUUAACCUGUAUUUAAUCACCAAAACUGUAUUGAGAUUAAUAAACUCCCCUUCCUUUUUUUUUUUUUUUUAAUAUUUUUUUUAUAAUGUUAGUCUUUCUGGGACUCUUGAGUGUUUGUGAGGACAGUUUACAGACUUAAAUGAUGUCAUGGUUUUUCUCCCUGACAUUUGAUCACAGUUGAUCAUGGCUUCAUAUUUGUUUUGCCUUAAUUGCCAAAGCUUUGAAUGUACCUUCCAUUAAAUUGUCCUGCACUGAUCAGCCCCUCAACUCUUUUUUUUUUAAUUUCAUUCCGCGAGAGGACAAAAAACCUUCCUGCUUUACGUACCUUUCCUUUUCUUUCUUUCUUUUUGUGCUACUAAUAAGUUACCAUCAUUAUUCUCUAAAUGUUAAGAGUGUAACUGUGAAGCCUUUUUUUUUUUUUUUUUUUUUUUUUUUUUUACAUAUAAAUAUAUAUUUUGGGACUCAUGAGAUUAAAAUCAAGCAUUUAGACAAGAAUUGACUUGUUUUUGAGUAACUUGUAUUAAGUAACAUGACUUGUUCACCAUCAUCAUUACUGACAAAUAUAUAAAUGCCAAAUUCUUUGAGUCACAGUGAAUGUGGCUUAAAGUUUAAACAUCACCUUAAAUUUGACCUGGCAUCAUUUUAAGUGGACAUUAUUUUUGUGUGUGUUUCAAAAAAAAAAAGAAUAUUUGUUGAGAUUAAAUUGUUGAAAUAAAAUCUUGCCGUUUUAUUUCCCAUGCUGUGGUGUGAUGUUUUGAUCUGUUUUCAUUGUCUGUCUCCAGACAGUUUAUAAUGCCGUAUUUUAGUUAGUUAUUCAUUUUAGUUGGAGUAGCAGCUCCACCCUCAGCAGGCAUGUUUGUGACCUCACUGAUACGACCGCGUCACACUGGAGUGAUGGGUGUAUUCUGACAGAUGAAUCACUACAGACUUAGUUUGGAUCUGUGAAGUAAAAAACAUAAAAUAUUUGCUUUAGUCUUUUACAUUUUCUCUCACAUGACUAAGACCUUCUCCUCCAAUAACUUUACAAUAACUUUACAUGUUAAACAUUUAGGACUAUUUAACAGGAUAGUUUGACAAAUCGAAAAGAAAUACAUUAAUAUGACAUUAAAUGCACCUAAAUUGGCAAAUAUGUAAUAAUAAUAAGGCUUUAAGUAAUUCUCUAUUUAUUAACCUUUGGAUUUUAUUAAAACUGUCCAUUUAAUUAAUAAAUUCUCAUUUGCAUUACAAUGAAUUUCCCAAUAGUUGUUUAUUUAUUUAUUUACAUUUUUUUCUUUUUAUAUUUUUUGUAGCAUUUGUUACAAUGAACAUUUGACCCAUUAGUUGAAAAUAGAAAAAUAAAAUAAAUACAAGCAUAUAAAUUAAAACAGAAGGAAAUAUUUAUGUCACAUUUUAGUGAUCUAUUUUAAAAAAAAAUGUAAUAAAUUUUUUUUUGGUCUUUUCGGUUUCACUUGACUUAGCUUUCUUUGUAUGUUAUGUAACAUUGGCUUUAAAGAAGUUUAUAGAACAUACACAUUCAAAAAAAAACAUAAAUAAAUAAAAAUAAAAAUGAUAAUAGGAUAAAUUGUGACCUGUGAAGCGGCGAUGAUCUUCGGUUCACGGAAACACCGGCGGAGUGAGACCUCGGUGCUGCUUCCGGUUCUGUUGAUACUCGAUCACCUGGUCGCACCUGCCAGGGGAGUCAACAACACAUGUGACCAAACAUGACUUUUAGAAGCUGGAGGAAGCGUUGUUAACGGUCGAGGCUCUUUCACUACAACAGGUAUUGACGGAAAACAAAGUGUGAAGAUUUAUUU